GAAAUAAUACUUCUUGAGCUUCUAACUCAAUAUUUAAUGAAAAAUUUCAUUUUAUUUCA
rnacentral:tRNA from 1 species